rnacentral:rRNA from 1 species
GACGAACCGUGCGAACGUUGUUCGGAUUCACUGGGCUUAAAGGGCGCGUAGGCGGGCGACCAAGUCAGGGGUGAAAUCUUUCGGCCCAACCGGAAAAGUGCCCCUGAUACUGGCCGCCUCGAGGGGGGUAGGGGCAUGCGGAACUUCCGGUGGAGCGGUGAAAUGCGUAGAUAUUCGGAAGAACACCAGUGGCGAAGGCGACUUACUGGACACAUAUUGACGCUGAGGUGCGAAAGCGUGGGGAGCAAACAGG